UGGCACUAGGAAGUGAGUCUGGACGCGAAAAGGGGGAAAAAACACGAAACGAGCGGAAUAACUAUGAGUUCAAUAAUCCCAGAGACACAGAGCAUCAAAGAAGCUGUGAUUCACAUCAACUCCAUCGACAUCAACAAGUUCUCCAGACUCCUGUCCCGCAUCCUGCAGAAACUCCACCUGAAGGAGGAGCGCUCCUUCAGUGAGGAGGAAGAGGAGAAGCUCCAGAGCGCUCUAUCUCUGGAGAAGCAGACUCUUCAUCUUCUGCUGGAGACUCUGUCCUUCAUCCUCGAACAGGCCGUCUAUCAUAACCUGAAGCCGGCGUCUCUCAGGCAGCAGCUGGAGAACCUCAGCGUCCAGACGGAGAAGGCCCAGGUGUUUGCUCAGGUCUGGGCUGCAGCUGCUCCCGAGGUUCUGGAGAAGAUCCGACUCGGGAUAUUUGCUCCUAAAAAGCUGGAUGUGGUCGGCUGGCAGCUCAAUCUGCAGAUGUCUUCAUCGUCUCGGAGCAGACUGAAAGCUCCUCACGCCGUCCUCAAUCUGGGGCUCCGCACGGAGGACGACAGCGAGAGCCUGCAGGACGUGUUUGUGGAGCUCAACCACCAGGAUCUGCUGGACUUCUACAAUCAGAUGGAGAUGAUCCAGACUCAGCUGGACUCUCUGAGCUGAUCCGGCUCCGUCCCAUGAUUCCUCUGGAUCGCUGUGUUUUCUGAAGAUCCAGCCUGAUCACUUUUCAGCAGGAAGUAAAGAAGGACACACUUUAAUAUGAAAGACGUCUUUAAAUGGAAACGCAUGGAAGCAGACUUUCAGCUAGGAUUUUACGAGGGCUUUGCUCAGGUCUAAGAUGGACGGCUGAGGACGUGAUCAGAUCUUCUGGAGGAGACUCGUCUCUCGUUCUGCGGCGUGACGCACAGAUCACUGAACAGAUGAACAGAUGGAGAGACGCUCGGAGCCGAGAGACUCCAGCAGAGACCGGCAAAACAGAACAGAGAGUUCUGGAGGAACGACACCAACAGAGGAGAAGUCCGGUGCUGAAGAUGAUACAGGAAGUGGUCCUGAAGCAUCUGUAAGAGAUUCACAGCAGGCUGCGAGGUUUAAGAGUGAAAUCAGAGUCUAUCCACGAGAUACGUGAAGUUAGGAAUAGGUGAUUCUAUCAAGGUCAUGAGUUUCUGAAAGCCUUUUUUAUCAUUUGUUUAUCCAUUUUUUUAAAUGCGGAGAACUGCAUUAUUUUGUGUGUGUCUUGUCUUCGGUGGUUUUGAAAUGUGUAUCAAUUAGUCUUUUUGAUAAAAACAAUUUACACUGUGUGUGAGAGUGUGCGUGUGAGUGUGUGAGUGAGUGUGUGUGUGAGUGAGU